rnacentral:rRNA from 1 species
CGGUUUAAUCGGACUCAACGCCGGGGAAAACUCACCAGUUAAGACAGCUGAAUGAUAGUCGGGCUGAAGACUCUACUUGACUAGCUGAGAGGAGGUGCAUGGCCGUCGUCAAGUUCGUACUGUGAAGCAUCCUGUUAAGUCAGGCAACGAGCGAGACCCACGCCAACAGUUGCUAGCUCGUCCUCCGGGAUGGAGAGGACACUGUUGGGACCGCCUCUGCUAAAGAGGAGGAAGGAAUGGGCAACGGUAGGUCAGCAUGCCCCGAAUUAACUGGGCUACACGCGGGCUACAAUGGGUGGGACAAUGGGUAUCGACACCGAAAGGUGAAGGCAAUCUCCUAAACCCAUCCGUAGUUCGGAUUGUGGGCUGCAACUCGCCCACAUGAAGCUGGAAUCUGUAGUAAUCGUGUCUCAAAAUGGCACGGUGAAUAUGUCCCUGCUCCUU